GAUGAAGAACGCAGCGAAAUGCGAUAAGUAAUGUGAAUUGCAGAAUUCAGUGAAUCAUCGAAUCUUUGAACGCACAUUGCGCCCCUUGGUAUUCCGAGGGGCAUGCCUGUUCGAGCGUCAUUACACCACUCAAGCUAUGCUUGGUAUUGGGCGUCGUCCUUAGUUGGGCGCGCCUUAAAGACCUCGGCGAGGCCACUCCGGCUUUAGGCGUAGUAGAAUUUAUUCGAACGUCUGUCAAAGGAGAGGAACUCUGCCGCCUGAAACCUUUAUUUUUCUAGGUUGACCUCGGAUCAGGUAGGGAUACCCGCUGAACUUAAGCAUAUCAAUAAGCGGAGGA
rnacentral:misc_RNA from 1 species